rnacentral:lncRNA from 12 species
CCAAUAAUUAGCAAUGCAUUUUCCAAAUGUUGUUGCAUCUGCUUAUCCCUGUACCAUUUUUUUCCCUGUGUAAUUUUUUUUAAAGUUAGAGUAUUUUAAAGCAAUUUUUGUACAUUAUUUCACCCAUAUCCAUAUGGAUUUUUUUUACACAACCACAAUGCCAGUAUCAUACCUAACAAAAUUCAUGAUAAUCUUUAACAUCCUCUAACACUCUGUUAUUGUUGAAAUUUCCCUAGUUGUCUCAAAAAUGUCUCUUUAAAGUUGAUUUGUUAAUAUCCAAUAGAGACUAGCCCACUGUUUUUGGUGGUUACAUUUCUUAAGUCUGAGGCUUUCUUUCCCCAAGUUUUUACUGAAAUUCCAGCUAGUUAACAUAUACUGCAAGAUGAGCUUAGGGUGUAGAAUUUAGUGAUUCAUCACUUGCAUACAGCACCUGGUGCUCAGGUGUUUUUUUUAACCUGUGUUGUAUACUUAUUAAAGAAAUGGGUCAUGUGUCCUACUCGUUUCACCGAUCACAUCUUGAGAACACCAGUCUAGACUUCUUAUUUAGGUUAUCAAGAGUCUUUCUUUCUGGAGAGCUCUCUGAUGGACUCAGGUAUCUCCUUGCACAGACUGGCAGCCUUCAGAGGUGAUGACUUCGCCACAUGGUGAACAACAUUUCUCAGGAGGCACAUUUCUUCCAUUGUUUAUUCAUUUUUCUUCAUCAGAUAGUAUUCCUACAUGGCAUUCACCCUACAAAUUCAGUGGUGUAAAAGGAAGUUUCUGUCUUCCAGGAGUGUGCAAGUAAAAUCUAACUGGGUCAGUGAUGGCAGUGAGAAGCUGUGGAUGCUGGGUCUUACCUACACAUUUGAGAGUGAGCAGGAACCUGGGCAGCAAGAGAUAAGCCAAUAUAUCUGCCUGUUGAGCCUACAGUUAAAAAUAAUUAUAGGGAACAUGGUGAUGCUUCAGAAACUGUCAGCUGUUCCGUAA